rnacentral:lncRNA from 1 species
ACUCUCUCUUCCCUCUCUCCCUUUUCGGCUGGGGGUCCGGUCAUCGGCCACCACGCCGGUCGUCGGCCGCCAUCGACGGCGUCGCCAUCCGCAAUGCCGAGAAAACCAAAAUGCCCCCUUUUGCUCCUCUUUUCAGGUGUAGCCCAGAUUUGGGGUUAAAAUUACCCAAAAGACCCUCCAAGUUCUGUAAAACGAAGAGAAAAGAGAAUGACUUUUUGGUUUCCGUCACCCCCGAUAGAGAAACGCCCUCCGGCGAUGCGGUCACGGGGCGGCUCCGGUAAGCCUCUGCUUCUUUUUGUUUAUUAUUUAGUAUAAAAGGAAAAAAAUAAAAGAGAAAAAAAUCGAACAAGAAAUUUAAAAAAAUCACCUCUGAGAUCUAUUUUCUGUUUUCUGUUUUUUUUAUUAAUCUUCGUAAAAAAUUACAAAGGGUGAAAUCUAGGCUUUUAUAGUCGAUCAAAUUUAGUCCAUUAUUGCUCAUGCUUCUAUUCUCUGCUGUUGCAUUUAAUUUUUGCAGGUGUCAGACAAGCGUGACGAUGGCGUGUAGCGGCGGAAGCAGGUGUGAGGAGGCUGGCGGCUGGGGUUAAAAGACCUAGGUGCGGUAGUGGCAACAACAGCUAGGGUUUCCUGCUACAAUUUUUUUUAAUUUUGUUGGGCUUUGGGUUUGGGUUUAAUUGGGCUUGGGGUUAUUUUAUUUGUAAUGGACUGUGGAUUUUUUUGGUUUACUUUGGGCUCCAGGCAAAAUUUGGGCCCUACAAUAUGUGUUUGAAAGGUGUUUGGGGCUAUUGAAUGUAUGCACAAUUGGAGUAGAUGAUUAGGUAAAUUUUGGCCUUGAAAGGGCUUGUUUG